CAGUUGCGGCAGCCAGUGCUUGGGGAAGGACAAACACCAGAGGAGGUUCACAAUGCAACCUUGAGAUCUCAGCCGUCCGUGUUAUCACAAGCCGAAAGACUGCAAAGAAUUAGGAAGAGACCAUGUAGAAGCAAAGACGACAUGCUGCAUGAAGUAAUGCAGCAGUCCCUUAACGAGAAUCUAAAAGUG